GCGCAGACCCACGGACAAACACCACCGAAACCGUGAGCGAUAAAAAUAUACAGAGACGUCUGCUCAAAUAGCUCCAAAAUCCUUUCACAGAAGAAGAAGAAGAGGAAAAAGCUCUUUUUUGAGCAAUGCAAUGCCUGUUUUUCCAGAAUUCAAUGCUCUUCCUCUCACGGGAUUUGACAUUUCUUCCUUAAUUUUUGCUAUUCUUUUGGUUUAAUAUUUAUUAUAAUUAAUCCAAAUACGCAUUUCAAAGAGGACAAAAAGAGGGUAAGUUAGCAGUGCUUGGUGAAAGGUGAGUUGAGUGUUUGCUGGUUUAGCGAGCUUUUUUUGCUGAAUUUUCCUCUGUCUGACUCAUGAUUCCCUGCAGGUUUUCGAGUUUUGGUGAAUUUUCCUUUUUCUUUCCCUGAGCUAAAACAUGGAAAAAAAGUGAGCUUCAGUGUUGGUUUCACCGUUUUCAUGACUUUAUGGAUUAUGGACUAUGGUCCUUUCAAUUUUUUUCUUUUAAUUUAUAUCAUCUCACUAUUUUUUCUUUUGAAAAGCUAGUCAAGAAGUGUAAUGAAUAGUCCUCAUUACAGUUUUUUUCCCUUUCUUUUCAAUUCAUAAUUAAAAAACUUUUUCGGGUUUUGCUUAAUUUUGUGGCAGUUGAGCUUCAAAGUUGAAACGGACUUUUCCUUGGUUACUCUGCUAUCGGCUUCUGGGAGUUGAAGAUCGCCAGAAGCAAAGCUCUUGAAUGGCCAUGCGGUUUUCCGAAUAGAUCCAGUGGAUGAGCUUUUGAUCUUGAUCCGGGUUGAAAUAAGAAAUUUUCGGAUACAAAAACCUCAUACUUGUUUUAGUAUUGCACUGUUGAUUUCCUAUUCAGCUGAUAACUCUGCCACUCCAUUUGACAAUGCAAGUGACUGAAGCGUCGAAGCUGGAGCAAAUUUGAGACCAUUGGCUUAGAUUAGAGGAGGUAAAAUGAAUUGAAGAGGAAAAAAAACUGGUGUUCGUUUUGUUUUUGCAUGUGAAGUUUAAUUUGUUGAUGAAAAUAUUGAAAGAAGGAAGUGGAGUUUUGAAGUGAUCAUUCAAGUUUUGGUUAAAGCAGGAG
rnacentral:lncRNA from 1 species